AGCAAUUUGACGCAGUUGGGAGCGUGCGGGGCUCAUACCUAUGGAUACCCUGAAGUCCCUGGAUCGAAACCAGGAGUUGCUA